GUGUCAGCCGCCGCGGUAAUACGUAGGGGGCAAGCGUUGUCCGGAAUUAUUGGGCGUAAAGCGCGCGCAGGCGGCCUUGUAAGUCUGUCGUUUAAACUCGGAGCUCAACUUCGAGUCGCGAUGGAAACUGCAAAGCUUGAGUGCAGAAGAGGAAAGUGGAAUUCCACGUGUAGCGGUGAAAUGCGUAGAGAUGUGGAGGAACACCAGUGGCGAAGGCGACUUUCUGGGCUGUAACUGACGCUGAGGCGCGAAAGCGUGGGGAGCAAACAGGAUUAGAUACCCUGGUAGUCC
rnacentral:rRNA from 1 species